UACGUAGGGCGCGAGCGUUGUCCGGAAUUAUUGGGCGUAAAGAGCUUGUAGGCGGUCUGUCGCGUCUGCUGUGAAAAUCCGGGGCUCAACCCCGGACUUGCAGUGGGUACGGGCAGACUGGAGUGUGGUAGGGGAGACUGGAAUUCCUGGUGUAGCGGUGGAAUGCGCAGAUAUCAGGAGGAACACCGAUGGCGAAGGCAGGUCUCUGGGCCACUACUGACGCUGAGAAGCGAAAGCAUGGGGAGCGAACAGG
rnacentral:rRNA from 1 species